AGCUGCAUGUGAAGAACUUCCCACAGUCUCUGCACUCGUAUGUAUGGAUUUUCCAGUGCUGAGCGAGGAUGGCCGUCCUGCCCUGGUACCAAGCCUCCACUGUUGACACUGGACCGACCUGAAGGACCCAUGUGGCUGAAAACCAAAAUAAGCCAGUUAAUUGUUGUAGGCAUGUGACCCAGACCUGGCCAGCGAGAGAUCUGCCUCUUCUGCUGCAUACUGGUAACAAUGACCCAUGUGGAGGGGAUGUAGUGGCUGAAAGAAGGCAACCCAGGAGCCUCUGAUGUGCACCCCAGACACACUCUUCUCUACCUGUCUUGGAGCCGGGAAGGUGUCGUUUCAGCUUCAGAGGGUUCAAAUGGAGAGAACGCCCUUCAAGAAGAUAAGCCAGAAUCUGACUCCAAGGUAGGAAUGCUGCCUUCCCCACCCUCGGAACAGUGCAGAUCAGGCGGGCUCCAGUUUCCGAAAGGUCAGCCCGCUGCCUGUAGGUUUCCGUCCACUAGUCGGGCGGCUCCGACCCUUUUCGCCGAAGUCACAGCCCACCCCAGCCCAGACCUGCCUGGAACCUGGAGCACCCCCUUAUCGGGCCCCGCCCACUCGGCCCAGCACAGCUGCCCUGGAAGCAAGCUGCUCAGGAUCAAGAGAGAAAAGGGGAAAAUAACACAACCACGCUGCGGCUUGGUACUCACCGCGCG